rnacentral:rRNA from 1 species
GACGAACGCUGGCGGCGUGCUUAACACAUGCAAGUCGAACGAAGUGGCGAACGGGUGAGUAAUGCGUAAUCAACCUGCCCUUCAGAGGGUGACAACAGGUGGAAACGACUGCUAAUACCGCAUACUGAAGGAGGGGUUUGCGUUUGAUUAGCUAGUUGGAGGGGGAACGGCCCACCAAGGCGAUGAUCAGUAGCCGGUCUUAGGGGGUUGACGGCCACAUUGGGACUUAGGCACGGCCCCGACUCCUACCGGAGGCAGCAGGGGGGAAUCUUCCGCAAUGGACGGAAGUCUGACGGAGCAAAGCCGCGUGAGUGAUGAAGGCCUUCCGGUUUUAAAGCUCUGUUAAUCGGGACGCGGUACCGGAAUAGAAAGCCACGGCUAACUACGUGCCAGCAGCCGCGGUAAUAC